AGCUAUGAAAAGUGAGAGCAGUAGAAGCAAGGGAAGACACCAAGCACAAUUGUGCAGUCUUAUAGAGCCUGGAGUCACUAUAAGACUGGAGAAUAAUAUGAUCAUGAGGAAAAGAGAUCUUGGCCUUGCCAAUUGGGUUGAAGGUAGGGAUAGGGGAGGAAUACCUUGAAUUAGAUCGAACUACCGAGACCAAACAUAAGGCAUGUAAAGCUCUAGUUAUGUGUCACUCUUAAUAGAGUAGCAUAAAUAGUACCGGAGUGCAAAGGCCUCACGGCAAUGAAAGAGGCCCAGUGCAGACAUCAGUCUCACUCGAUGGCACAUUACUCCGGCUCAACCACUGAGGUAGUUAUAGUGUGGCAAGGUCCUCUGGAGAGUCAAAGGGUAUGAAAUCAUCAAAGCCUCUAGGAGAGGGGGUAAGAAAGAACUGUAACACACCUGCUCUGUACUCCAAUCAUAGGCAGGGGACAUGACUCGAGACCCAAAGAUCUUGAUCAAAGGAGU
rnacentral:misc_RNA from 1 species